UACAGAGGUCUCAAGCGUUGUUCGGAUUCAUUGGGCGUAAAGGGUGCGUAGGCGGCGCGGUAAGUCGGGUGUGAAAUCUCGGAGCUUAACUCCGAAACUGCAUUCGAUACUGCCGUGCUUGAGGACUGGAGAGGAGACUGGAAUUUACGGUGUAGCGGUGAAAUGCGUAGAUAUCGUGAGGAAGACCAGUGGCGAAGGCGGAUCUCUGGACAGUUCCUGACGCUGAGGCGCGAAGGCCAGGGGAGCAAACGGG
rnacentral:rRNA from 1 species